UACGUAGGGUGCAGGCGUUAAUCGGAAUUACUGGGCGUAAAGCGUGCGCAGGCGGUUUCUUAAGUCAGAUGUGAAAGCCCCGGGCUCAACCUGGGAAUUGCGAUGGAGACUGCAAGGCUUGAAUCUGGCAGAGGGGGGUAGAAUUCCACGUGUAGCAGUGAAAUGCGUAGAGAUGUGGAGGAACACCGAUGGCGGAGGCAGCCCCCUGGGUCAAGAUUGACGCUCAUGCACGAAAGCGUGGGGAGCAAACAGG
rnacentral:rRNA from 1 species